GGAGUGGUAGCUCAGCGGUAGAGCAGGAGAUUGCAGUGCGUAACAAAUAUCUCAAGGUCCCGUGUUCAAUCCACGGUCGCUCCU